GUUGUACACUGAGAUCUUGCUUCGUACUUCCAGAAAAAACAUGGACAAAAAUUCAAAUACACUUUCUAAUGAAAUUUAAAAAAUCGCCAAGUAUGCUACAGUAAAUAUUAAAAUUUUAGAAACUUCAGGAGUUAUAUUUAAAAAGAUGGCAGUAACCGGUUUUUUUAUGGCAAUAAUAUUAAACACCCAAUUCAAAUUGUCAGUGGUACAGUUGCACUAAGAAAAAAAUUCCUGAAACAAUUGUUUAUAAAAAACUAAUAAUUCUGUUUGAUUUAAAAUACAAUAAAUAUUUUCAUUGGUUAUGAAAAUAGUGAUACACUAUAAAAUAAAUAUUAUGUAUAUAUCGGCUAUGAAAAUGACUAAUUUCUAUACCAAUAUAUUAACCAGUUAGUUAGACUCUGUGGUCAAGGGAACAAGACCCUAUUUCAGUUCAAAAUCAAUCUGAUUUCAUCACUCAUGAAUAAUUUUAGUGUCAGAGACCCAAGAAACUUAUAAUGGAUCAGGAAAAUCAACUCAAAUAUAUAACGAAGAAA